GGAAACAGAACUCGAUUGGUUGAGUGUCUCCCUUUUAAGGAGCAUGGUCUUGGUUCGAUCCCAAGUGUUUUCA
rfam:Trametes pubescens strain FBCC735 TRAPTBscaffold_1672, whole genome shotgun sequence.